GUCGAACUGGUGUCAAAAGGCCCAACAUGAAUUUGCUGCAACACCCCUGUCUUUCAGUGUGGAUUGAUACACAGAAAGGCAGAAGUUAUGUUCAUUUUGCAGGCCCAGAACAUAUUAGGGCCUUUCUGUUAUGCGAGGUGCUGGAUAACAUCCUGCAGCACCAUCUCUCCAACAGACCAGUCUUCCCAAAAGCAGUACAACCAGAACAAGACAAACAGGAGGAUGCCCACUUUGCCCAGUACAUACCAGAGAGCAUGGACCUUACAGCUCUCCGGUUGGUGGUGGGAAGGCUGACUAGGGCACAUUGUAAGUAGCGGCAGUUAAGUGAUCAAUACUAUAUCCAAUUUAUAGACCCUGGAAUCAAAUAUGUACAACCCUGUUUCCAAAUAAGUUGGGACACAUUGUGUAAAAUGUUAACAAAAACAAAAUGCUAUGAUUUGCAAACUAGGUAACCAUAUACGUUAUAUUAUGUUUGGCUGACGCUUUUUAACCAAAGUGACUUACAUCUUUUUACCUUAAUUGUGUCUAUUGGGCUGUCCAAUGGAUCGCUGCAACCACGAGGAAGCUGACACUCAAGAUCCACCGAACGGGUGUGCCACUCUCAGGGGAUGUUACAGGAAUGCAGCACAGGCUAUAAAAGAACAUCACCACAGCUAUCACCACCACUGUAGAAGCCCUCAACUACAGAUUUGAAAAUCUCAUCAAUUAUUCCUUGGAGGACUAUAGUGCUGUGAAUUGCUUCAAAAUCUUCCACCAUGACACUUGGCCUGAAAACAGCACUGAACUGGUUGAUUAUGGCAAUGAUCAAUUGGAGGCCCUAAUGGAGCAUUUCAGUCAUGUCCUUACCAGCGCUGGAUGCCAGUUGGAUGCUGUGCCUGGGGAGUGGCAGAAUAUGAAGACUCUGGUCAGCCACACUUUCAAGUACAAGUUCUACAGCAGCUUGUGGCAAACAGUUCUGGUCAAAGAGCCAUACAGAACUGACUACAAGAAUCUACACCUUGUGGAGAUCCUGCUGGUUCUCCCUAUCUCUGCGGCGCAGUGUGAGCGAGGCUUCUCUGCACAAAAGCGCAUUAAGAAUUCGCUGAGAAGCUGACUUAAUGUUGAUACGACAGAGGACCUCAUUCGUAUUGUGUCAGAGGGCCCUUUUGUUGAGUUAUUUGAUCCGACAGUCUGUGCAGAGAACUGGCUGUCAGAUGGAAAGAGGUCCCGAAGACCAAACUACAAAUCCUGGCCGGCUGAUUUCGAAAUGAUUUUUGUUUAAAGUGCAUCAAUUAAAUGAAAUUCAGUUCCAUUUUA